AUUGAACGCUGGCGGCAGGCCUAACACAUGCAAGUCGAACGGUAACAGAAAGCAGCUUGCUGCUUUGCUGACGAGUGGCGGACGGGUGAGUAAUGUCUGGGAAACUGCCUGAUGGAGGGGGAUAACUACUGGAAACGGUAGCUAAUACCGCAUAACGUCGCAAGACCAAAGAGGGGGACCUUCGGGCCUCUUGCCAUCGGAUGUGCCCAGAUGGGAUUAGCUAGUAGGUGGGGUAACGGCUCACCUAGGCGACGAUCCCUAGCUGGUCUGAGAGGAUGACCAGCCACACUGGAACUGAGACACGGUCCAGACUCCUACGGGAGGCAGCAGUGGGGAAUAUUGCACAAUGGGCGCAAGCCUGAUGCAGCCAUGCCGCGUGUAUGAAGAAGGCCUUCGGGUUGUAAAGUACUUUCAGCGGGGAGGAAGGGAGUAAAGUUAAUACCUUUGCUCAUUGACGUUACCCGCAGAAGAAGCACCGCCUAACUCCGUA
rnacentral:rRNA from 1 species